AAGAUACUGGUAUAAGAGUUAAUACACUGCUUUGUCAAGGCAGGGUUGCAGGUUAGAGCCCUGCGUAUCUUG
rnacentral:tRNA from 1 species